rnacentral:rRNA from 1 species
GACGAACGCUGGCGGCGUGCCUAAUACAUGCAAGUCGAGCGAAGUUUUUCUGGUGCUUGCACUAGAAAAACUUAGCGGCGAACGGGUGAGUAACACGUAAAGAACCUGCCUCAUAGACUGGGACAACUAUUGGAAACGAUAGCUAAUACUGGAUAACAGUAUUUCUCGCAUGAGAGAUAUUUAAAAGUUGGUUAUGCUAACACUAUGAGAUGGCUUUGCGGUGCAUUAGCUAGUUGGUGGGGUAAAGGCCUACCAAGGCGACGAUGCAUAGCCGACCUGAGAGGGUGAUCGGCCACACUGGGACUGAGACACGGCCCAGACUCCUACGGGAGGCAGCAGUAGGGAAUCUUCCGCAAUGGGCGAAAGCCUGACGGAGCAACGCCGCGUGAGUGAAGAAGGAUUUCGGUUCGUAAAGCUCUGUUGUUAGGGAAGAAUGGAUAUGUAGUAACUAUACAUAUAAGA